UUAAAUUGAAGAGUUUGAUCAUGGCUCAGAUUGAACGCUGGCGGCAGGCCUAACACAUGCAAGUCGAACGGUAACAGGAAGCAGCUUGCUGCUUCGCUGACGAGUGGCGGACGGGUGAGUAAUGUCUGGGAAACUGCCUGAUGGAGGGGGAUAACUACUGGAAACGGUAGCUAAUACCGCAUAACGUCGCAAGACCAAAGAGGGGGACCUUCGGGCCUCUUGCCAUCGGAUGUGCCCAGAUGGGAUUAGCUAGUAGGUGGGGUAACGGCUCACCUAGGCGACGAUCCCUAGCUGGUCUGAGAGGAUGACCAGCCACACUGGAACUGAGACACGGUCCAGACUCCUACGGGAGGCAGCAGUGGGGAAUAUUGCACAAUGGGCGCAAGCCUGAUGCAGCCAUGCCGCGUGUAUGAAGAAGGCCUUCGGGUUGUAAAGUACUUUCAGCGGGGAGGAAGGCGAUAAGGUUAAUAACCUUGUCGAUUGACGUUACCCGCAGAAGAAGCACCGGCUAACUCCGUGCCAGCAGCCGCGGUAAUACGGAGGGUGCAAGCGUUAAUCGGAAUUACUGGGCGUAAAGCGCACGCAGGCGGUCUGUCAAGUCGGAUGUGAAAUCCCCGGGCUCAACCUGGGAACUGCAUUCGAAACUGGCAGGCUAGAGUCUUGUAGAGGGGGGUAGAAUUCCAGGUGUAGCGGUGAAAUGCGUAGAGAUCUGGAGGAAUACCGGUGGCGAAGGCGGCCCCCUGGACAAAGACUGACGCUCAGGUGCGAAAGCGUGGGGAGCAAACAGGAUUAGAUACCCUGGUAGUCCACGCCGUAAACGAUGUCGACUUGGAGGUUGUGCCCUUGAGGCGUGGCUUCCGGAGCUAACGCGUUAAGUCGACCGCCUGGGGAGUACGGCCGCAAGGUUAAAACUCAAAUGAAUUGACGGGGGCCCGCACAAGCGGUGGAGCAUGUGGUUUAAUUCGAUGCAACGCGAAGAACCUUACCUACUCUUGACAUCCAGAGAACUUUCCAGAGAUGGAUUGGUGCCUUCGGGAACUCUGAGACAGGUGCUGCAUGGCUGUCGUCAGCUCGUGUUGUGAAAUGUUGGGUUAAGUCCCGCAACGAGCGCAACCCUUAUCCUUUGUUGCCAGCGGUCCGGCCGGGAACUCAAAGGAGACUGCCAGUGAUAAACUGGAGGAAGGUGGGGAUGACGUCAAGUCAUCAUGGCCCUUACGAGUAGGGCUACACACGUGCUACAAUGGCGCAUACAAAGAGAAGCGACCUCGCGAGAGCAAGCGGACCUCAUAAAGUGCGUCGUAGUCCGGAUUGGAGUCUGCAACUCGACUCCAUGAAGUCGGAAUCGCUAGUAAUCGUGGAUCAGAAUGCCAUGGUGAAUACGUUCCCGGGCCUUGUACACACCGCCCGUCACACCAUGGGAGUGGGUUGCAAAAGAAGUAGGUAGCUUAACCUUCGGGAGGGCGCUUACCACUUUGUGAUUCAUGACUGGGGUGAAGUCGUAACAAGGUAACCGUAGGGGAACCUGCGGUUGGAUCACCUCCUUACCUUAAAGAA
rnacentral:rRNA from 4 species